GAGUAUAGAAAGUUGGAAAAUAAAUAAUCAGUUACAGGGUUUCAGCAAACAGUUACAAAGAAGACCUACAAACAACUCAGCAAGUUUCCUCCAUGAUAACAUAGAAAUCAAUAACAUGGAACUCUUUUUGCGAUGCAUCUACAAAGGAUACAGGAAAACCUCUAGCCAACUAGAAUAUAGCCUAAGGAGAUGCAGCAUAGAGCCAGAUACAGACGACCACAGGGAAAUCAGCAGCCACCUACUUACUGGAUAUUUCAAAAACUUCCACGAACUAGCAGCUUAGCAAUAUGUCCUUUGGCCCCAUCCUAGCACCAUAGGAGUUAGUGACCCUGAUAAUUGCCACCAAACACACCAAAAAAGCUACAAAUCUGCUGCUGCUGCAAAAAAGGCUGGCAAUAUUGGCACAUUCAUAUAAUUGAUCACAGUACCUCACUUGGAAGCAGAACACCUGGUCAAGUACGAGUCAUACGUCAGACUGCAGUAACAACGCAGUAAGAAGUUAAUUAAUUAUGAUACGACAAACUUGCUUGGAUUGUCUUACGUUCACAUCCACCCCACAUCCCCCAAUAAACUGUCUGAAUAGAGUUCUACCUAUUUAUUCUAAAAUAUUGAAAAUGUAUUCAUCAAAGACAAGGAACGAGUGCUUUCAAAAUCAUAUAAAAGUAGUUCGAGCUCAGUCUCCUUUCUCCUAAGAUAAGAAAGAAAAUGAUGGCCAGUAAACUAUCACAAGAAUACAUUAGCACUUGAGUAAAUUUGGUGCCACUAAUGUUUCCAUACAAACCAUAUGACAGAUUAUUAAGGACAAUUUGUGCAGCGGUUGAGUAUACGAACUAGAAAGAUGAAACAAAGUAUAGAUCAUUCUUGAUUUGGAAUCCAGGUUGAUUUGAUUUGAAACAACUAAAACCAUUCUGCUGAGAAAAACCUAAGCAAAUUAGCGAAAGGGUCAAACAUGUCAACAACAAAGCCUUUAGUCCCAAACAAGUUGGGGUACGCUAGAGCUGAAACCCAUAAGAUCUCGCAACCUACUCAUGGUUCUGGGACAUGGAUAGCUAGCUUCCACGCACCCCUGUCCAUGGUUAGUUCUUUGGUGAUACUCCAGUCCUUCAGAUCUCUCUUUACGGACUCCCUCCUAUGUCAAGUUCGGGCUACCCUGGCCCCUCUUGACAUGAAAGGGUGAAACCUGUUUCUGGUCUAGAAAUGCACAGGCUAAAGGCAAUUACAAAAAAGAAAAGAAAAGUUUGCAGCAUUUUGAAUCAGCUUCAGAGUGCUUACAACCAGGCAACCAGCAGAAACUGAUACAUAGUGAGUUCCUUGCUGAUAUCUAAUGCCCAACUAAAGCGUAACACCUUAACUCGGCUAAGUUUUACCAGUGAUGUCGAUGGUUGUGUCAGUCACAACUAUUGCAAAUAGUAGAGUUCACUUGCACCAAAAGAGAACACAAAUGGCAUGAUUGCUAGCUGGAACAUUUAUACAGUUUAGGUUAAUUCUAAAUUGCACUCCACAUAGCUCAGGCCUAAAAGAGUCAUAAAGUCAAAAAGUCUUAACAUCACGAACAAUGUCCUAUACACUAGAAAGAGUAGAAUCUGGAUAGCUGCAGGUUAUCCAUGUAAGCGGCUAAACCCCUAACAGAAAACAUGCGAUCUGACUUCAGCUUAAGCUCAUCGGGGACAAAGCUCAAAGUUAGGCCAAGCAGACAGUGGACUUUGGUGGUAGAAUAACAGCCAGUUAGCCACACUACAAAAAUAUGAUAAACAACAAAGGUGAGAUCCUUUCAACAAUUAAAUUUAAUGCGUUAAUUCUUCAACCCAUGUACUUUGUGCACUAGUGGGCACAUUUAAUAUUACAUUAUGUUGCCUCGAAUCAUACCAGUGAAAUAGGUAAUAGAUUCUUUGCUGCAGAAGAUGUAACACUUUAUUUCCGUCAAAACAAUGUAAUGAACAUUUCAACAAUAUUUCAUUUUUGGAAUCAAUUACUCCCUCCGAUCCAUAUUAUUAGUCGCAGCUUUAGUACAAAGUCGUACUAAAGCUGCGACAAGUAAAAUGGAUCGGACGGAGAGUUUUUUCCUUUGCGAGGAAAAUCGCUUAGUUAACAUGGUACAGGAUCCAUAGAACCGAGCUUGUUAUCCCUAGGUAUUUCAAGCUAUUAUAGGCAUGUACAAUGGACCAAGAUAAGGAGAAAUAACAAAAUUGUAAAAUGUUCUUUACUGAUUCAACUUCAAGUUGCCCAUUCUAAUCUGACUCAAAGACCCCUAUUGCAUCGAAUAUACAGUUAGUUCACACUUUGCACCUCAUAACCACGCCCUGUUAAUUUUUAGAUACAUAGACAACAAGACAAAGUAGAUAACAUCAAUGAGCAUUAAUUAUUGUAUCAAGGCUGGAGCUCGUGAAACAGAUUCCAUUUCAUCUUUCAGUGACUCCUAAGACCAAAAUUAGACAGCGGAAAUUUGUAAAGAACAAGAAGGCAUCACAGUGAGAGAACCUAACAGGGAUAAUUGUGGAUGUCCACCUGCCACCAAAAC
rnacentral:lncRNA from 1 species